GAAUGUGGAGAAGGCGAGAGCGGCCUUCCUCACGAGGUGCAAGGCCAACUCGGAGGCGACGCUCGGGGUGUACAAGGGAGAUGCAGCUGGCGGUGAGGGUGUCUCAGAGAGCCUCCAUGUGAAGGGCUACACUUAUUGAUCUCGCGCAGAAUUCAUGGGAAUGUCUGUGCUUUCGCAGAGAGUUCUUUUGAUGCUUUAGGAGAUGAUUAUAAUAAGUCUGAGAGUGCUUUCAGUUUUCUGUGUCUGGAUGUUUAAUCAUCCUUAAUGACGCUUUUUAUUUUUGAUGAUGUUUCAUUUUGUAGUUUGACAUUUGCGGUCUUAUGUUAUGGAUGUGAAAACUUGCUAAACUACCUGCGUUUUCUUACUUUCUCUUGGUCACAGCAAUAACACCGCACUUUCAUUGUUUUAUGCAUAUAUAUUUAGCACCUUUGCUUGGUGAUAAUUACAUGUUUUUCUAGCUUUCUCUCCCAGGAGUUGUGAUCUGAUGUAUUUGAAGUGUUUCAGCUCUCAUUUAAUAUUUAUAUACUAACUGUUUCUUAAGGAUUUUUGAAGGUCAAAUCUUUAUUGUGUGGCUCUGUAGGUAUGUGCUUUUCAAUACAUACAUUCUAUGUUUCCUCAGGAAUCUGAAAAGGAACAUAACAUUAUACAAUGCUGAUGAGCUUACAAAUUUCAUUUCAGUUGAUAGAUUAAUAUGGCCUGUACAAAUUUAUCAUUAUAUUUUGUGAUCUAUAUAAGUUUAUCAUCAGUGUCAACUAUGGUUUUGGACCAAGUAAAUGGUCCAUGAUGAAGAGAACAUUAUACCAUGACAAAUCAUUCUAUUGCAUCUAUUAUCAAGAGAUCUUCAAUAUAUUGCACAAUUAUAUUUAGAUUUCUACAGAGACUAAGACUAUGGUCCUGCAACAUCUGCACAGUAGUUCCCCAUGGUAAUAUCACCCGACCGAGCAGUCAUCUCUGAUUGUGCAGUUAACUCCAAUGGUGCUGCUCACUUUGCUUGCUUCCAUAUCUGUUCAGGACAUUAGAACGUAAGAUUUAAGUUACAGGUAAAUGGUUUCGAUUUAUGAGAUUUAAAUACAACAUCGCAAUUCAUAUAUGAAAAGACCAAAAAACCAGGAUUUAUGCUUGGGAUAUAUAUACCUAUGCUUAUAGAGAAGAUCACUAUAAAUUAGUACAGCAAAUGGUUUCAGAAACAUAAAUAUAGAGGAUAGGGAGGAAAAAUGACAAGCAUUGCCCGCAUACUUUUCUAGGACUUGUAAAUGCAAAUGCAAAUUUUGUACGGCGAAGAACACCUUUUCAGUAGACUUUCGGGAUCUCCAACAACACAACUUUGAGCCAAAUCUUGGGGUCUUGCUUUGUCUGCAAGGUCAGGAGUAAUUAGAUUUUCCAAAAAGAUAAUGUGGUUUAUGUUAUGUUUACAAAGGAGGACAGAAGAAAAAGCUGAAUGAUGUCAAAUUGAAUCCACAUAACAUGCCAAACAAAUUGCCCAUUAUUUAGAUAUGAAUACUUGGAUCAUUUUAAAUAAUGCCCCGUGAUAUGGUGGACACUGAUGCUUCAGUUCUCUAAACAAGAUAAUUGCUCAACAGAAGCAGUUCGACAUUGUUGGCAAUCUCCUGCUUCACAACAGAUGCAUACUUGGGCUGAAUGGGUGAUAAGAUUCCAACACCUUCUGUUUGUACACUACGAAGAGUGUUUGUGGAAAACUGUGUGUUAAAUUGGUAGAUUCUUUACAUUAGCCCUUAAAUUUGUGCCUCCAAGCGCAUCAUGUAUACAUCUUAUCAUGGUAAGGGCCCUCUUGCAGAUACAGUAUGUUGUCGCAUGGUGAUAUCUCUUCUAUAAAAUGAUAGACGCAUAAAAAUUAAAAGUAGAAAUCAAAGAUGUUACUUACAUCUAUUAAAGAUGCUAAUGCAUUUAGUUUUAGGUUUAUGCUGACAAGGUGGAUCUCAAAAGCUUACCAAACAAUAGGCAACUUGAUGUAGGAUGACAUCAAGAAAAUAUUUGAAAGUAGUGCAUCAUCGCAAAAUUUCAUCAACAUACCUAUUCACGCCAUCAUGACUGUAGGCAACUUGUGCCUGUGAUUUUGAACAGAUAUGGCAGGGCUUUUUAAUGCAGUGACAUGCUCCAAUUGACGGCUUUCUAGGAAAAGAAAAUUUAACUUUGCAAUGUGGCUGGAUCUUUGGACAUUUAGCACAAGCAGCAGUAUAUGAGAAGAAUCUCCUCUGAUGCAUAAGAAGAUUCUGAAAGCAGCUAGGCUGAUUUCCAGGUUCUUGAAGGCUGACUUCUUCAUCCUCUUCUCUAGACUGGCUCACUGGGUGUCUUCUCUGAUUUUGCCCUUCUGGUACGUUAUCCUGUACUGAUUUGUUACAAACAGUACCAGUACAUGGAGUGUUCAAUUCGACGUUCUCGACAGCGGCUGAUUCUUUAUCAUGGAAAAAUGGCACUGAGUUAACAUCAAAUUGAUGCAUAACAGUUGACGGGCACUCUUUGUGAUACCUCGAACAUACUCCUGCAACUUCCUCUUCUUUGUUAGAUAUUUUGAGGGCAUCAACUUUGAUGCCCGCAUCUGAUCUCUCUUGCUUUCUUCCAGAAGAGUCUGGCAAACGGAAGGAUUGUUUCUUUGAUUUGGUUGUCUUACUUUCAGAUGUAGGUACAAGAUUGAUUCUGACAUCUGCAUUGCAUCUAAGCACAUCUUGAAGAGAACCCACGAUUUGUUCCCGUAACUUCUCUGCCAUGACUACAUAUUCCGGACAGCAAAAUUCUACUUCUGCAAUAGUCAGGCCUAGCAAUUGCAAAAGGUGUUGCUUCUUUAGAAAUUUAAUCAUUAAUCGAUGGUUAACAGGGUAAAUAAAUCUUAAGUGGACAAAGUUCACAUAAGAAGUUAUCAUAUCUAGCAAUGUGGAAGUGGAAGCGCCCCGUAAAACAUUGAUAAUUCCAAUAUGGUUUAUAGUAUUUAGUGACUGUAAGAAAGGUUUUAGCACGCUUGCACUUGAAUACUCCAUGGUUUUAUGUAGUAAAACUAAACCGGUAUCACAUUAGAUGUGUACUGAAACAUAAAGAAAAGAGAAAAAGAUUAUAAAUUAAGAUUAAUAUGGUAAACCAACUUUAAGUUUUACAGGUCGGGGAUAAUAAAUUUACCUUCAUUAGCAUAGAUGGAUGAUAGUUUUCCAUCUUUCAACAAGAAACUUUUGGUGGAACUAGAUGGCCAUUUUUCAAUUGCUCUCCUCCAUAUCUGUUCCAGUGCUUCUACAUUUUCACACUUCUUGUCUAAAACGUUCACAUUAUCAUGGCCACACACAUGACAUGAGUUUCCAAAGUUGUCCUCUGCGGAUACAGUACUCACAAGACCAUCAUCUGUACAAAAUAGCUUACUUAUUCUAAAAUAAACAACAUAGUCGCAACAUUAUCAAACUGUGUUCAUAUUUCUUGGCAGAAUAAAAUUGAGAAAAGUUGAACCACUAAGAGUAAAAUAUCCCAUACCUGCACAAGAAUCACAUGAAUCCCUUAAAGGAAAUGAUUCUUCAGUAUUAAAUUGUAGAAGAGCAGCUGUGAGCCAAGUAGACUUGUUCUUUGUAGUUUGCAAUUGUUUUUCAGUCUCAGAAAGUAUUUCUAAUGCACGUGUCAGUCUGGGCAUGCCAACUUUACCAACUGCAUGAUCAGUUGCAUAUUAAUUCGCAUAAGAAAAGAUGGAGAUGAAUAGACUGUCAAUCAAAGUUCCCAUGAGAAAUAGGCACUUUAGUAAAAGUUAGAAUACUUAAGAAAGGAAAGUAUGCCGAACAGAGAUUUAGGAUCUAGUUAAGUUUCCAAACAAUAUUCGAAAUAAGUUAUAGGAACGAAAAACAAUGACCUAGAGGAUGUGUAUGAAGGCAAAAGAGUGGAUCAGUGGACCAACCUAUAAAUCAGGCAAUCAGUUGACAUAUCUUCAUAAUUACCUGUGAACUGUCCCAGCUCGAUGAUAUUCAUUUAUAAAAAUAAGGUUGAGAAAUAGCUUACAUAUGUUGCUUUACUUAUACAGCAAACUUGUGUUGACCAUAUUUCUUGCAUGUAAUUAAUGUUAUAAGAACAUGAUAAUUAAAGAAAGACAAAGUAAAGAGGCAGUGAUGGAGGGGAGGAGUCAGUGUGUUGUUAAAAUAUCCAGGAGUACAUACAAUCAUGUCUGCCCAAACAUUCUCCAACUUCAGACUCUCCAUCUUGGAAUCUUCUUGCCACAGUAUCCAUGAUAAGAUUUGCAAGCUGAGAAAGUAGCUGCACCGGAUCAAUCUUUGAGCUCAUAAGCUCUCUAGCCUUUUUAACUGUAGCAGCAGCAUCUGAAGAAAAUGCCGAAUCAAGCAGAUCAAGCAACUCAUCAUCUGAUACAUCUCCUAUCUGCGCCAAAAAAAAAAAGGAAUAUUGAAUGACCACCAGUCCUUUCUUUCCUUCUCAGUUCAUGAAGCAAGUAUUUCCAAAUUAGAAGAUAUAGGUAGAUGCAACAGCUUACAAGCUCAAAUGCAAUAGAUUUUGUAAUUCUUUGGCCAAGCAAGCUCAGCUGAUCAAGCAUUACUUCCGCAUCUUGAAGAGAACCAUUGGCCUUGUUAGCGAGAAGGUCCAAUGCAUCCUCUUCAAAGGCCAGUCCUUCUUCUUUGCAAAUCUUCCUCAAUCUGCUGACUAUGUCAGCUUCUGAAAUCUUAAGAAAAUUGUACCUUUGGCACCAUGUUACGCAACUACUUGGCAAUUUCUCCACUUCAGAGGUGACCAUGACAAACACAGUAUGUUGCGGAAACUUCUCUAGAUUGCUACAAAUAGAGAACCAUGUUUCCCUCUCCAGAAACUGGCAUUCCUCGAUAAUGAAAACCUUGAAGCGCGACGGAACGGGAUCAAGAGAAGCACUCAUGAAGAUUGUAACACUUGCCCUGUGAUUCAUGUUUGUAGCAUCGAGUUCCUUAACAUCCCUACUCCUUCCAAACAAUAUAAGUGCGCACUCCUCGCAGAACCCACAUGGCCUGCGUUCCUCAGAAGAUAGGCAAUUCAGAGCAGCUGCGAAUAUUUUCGCGGCUGAUGUCUUACCCGUGCCGCGAGGACCAUGAAAAAGAUAAAGCGGAGCAACUUUUCUACUGGAAAUGGCGCUCGACAGGGACUGAGCUACAACAUUCUGUCCAACCAGCUGAGCGAAAGAUCUAGGUCGGUAUUUUUGACUCAGGCUCCUCGGAUUAUCUAAAUGCUGAGCAAUUUCUCCGAAAGGGUGUUCUCGUCUUUCGUCCAGCGGAAGUAACGUAUCCGUGCGUCUCGAUGCUCUUGACAACGAGCAAAACGCCGCAUGCACCUUACAAUUGGAAGAAAAAGUAUUUGCGUCAUCAACACAGCCUUCACCCCCAGAUGCAGAAAUUUCCGCGUGACUUGGAUGAACAUCUUCUCUCAUAGCAGAUUGUUUCCUCAUUUUGCCAUCUCCGCUCCUGUUAAGCAUCAACGAGCUGACCUGCUCGACCAGUCUAUAAUUUGAUUCAUCAUGGAAGUCAAAUCCAUUGCCAAAAUGCCGUGCAGAAUGGAAUCCGCAGUUUCCUUUCGGGCGCGCAUCGGAGCCUGUGAUCUUCGCGAAGCCUGUGAUCUUCGCGUCGCCGAGAACCUCUCUCCUCCUUUCCAAAAGAUCACUCUGACUAUAGCUGAAAGUGCGCCGAUUACAAGUAUUCGACUCCGGAAUUCUGUCGGCGCGAGAACUGGCUCCGGAUUUCGCCGUGUCAACCAAUGCAGCAUAUUUGUCGAGCGAGUUCGUCUCGGGGUCCCGCAGCGACCUCGACCUCAUGAGAGCCACCAGAGUUCGUGAAAUGGGGAUGUCUACAGAAUGUCUCCUAGCCUCAUACAUUUUGAAUGGCUGAAAUUAUAGCCUUUAACUUAGUGCAUAAUUUGCAUCUUCAUUCAUUCUGCAGAUUCAGAAGUUCAUAAAGUAGUUCGAAAAACCACCGGUAUUUCAGCAUCUAUCAUUUGAAGAACAAACUGCAAGAACUUGCACAAAACCACUUUUACUAAUAAUGAGAACUUGCAAAAGAAAAUAGUAUCAGAGCAGGUGGUCCAAACAUGAGAAUCUAAGCUUUUUUUUUUUUUUUUUUUAAUAUAUGUAUCUGAUGACUUAUUAAGCUUUUGAAAAAAUCGAUUGUUUUUAACACAUUGGCGAAGAAUAAAAUCAAAAAAAAAGGAAAAUAAACAGAGAAGUAGCUCACCAGGAAGAGAGAGAAUGCAGGUUCAGGAAUCAGGAGUUAGGAAUUUCGCUUCUCCACCAACACCCCCAAAAGAACACAAAAACACAAAUGCAUGCUCAUCACGAUUACCCAUUACAGGGGGGAAAGAGAAAAAGGAGGGGGGCCAGUGGCAGAAGCGUAAAUAAAGCGGAAGCAGAGGGGCGAGAGUGUGGGCUUCGGAGGAAGCGUGUGGCAGUGGCCCUUCGGUUACGGACGACGGAGCGCGCGGCUUGCUGUUAAAUGCGAAGCCCGGCGCGGGACGUGACAGAGAGAAGAGCGGGCCCCACCUCCUCGGGAAGCGUGACGAGCAGGGGGUAUUUUCGUAAUUUUGAGGUGAAAGGAAAGGAAGUAUUGCGUGCAAUUGGUGUCCGUACACAUCAUGCACCGCGCUCAAUAGGGUUGCGUGGAGAUUGCGCUACGCACCAUAAAAAAAUACGAAAAAUAUCAUAUUUAUUUUCAUACGUUAUACUAUAUUUUGCAUAUCACGAUGAAUCGAUUACAAUAUAAUUUUACGGUUCUAGAAAAAUAGAAAAAUAUAUUUCUAUAUGUUUUUAUCCUUUCUCCAUUUUAUUUAAUAGGAGUAUAUGGAUAUGUUAAAUAUGAUUUAUAGUAUUUAAAAGUAGUUUUCAAUAUAUAAAAUUUUUAGAUAAAAUAUGUAUGGUAUUGUCUUUAGAAUUAAGUAUUUUUGGUCAAAAAAAUUAGAAAUUUUAUCAAAUAUAUCAAUGAUUAUAUAAAAAUUAUUAACUGUACUCACUUUGUAGAAAAUCAAAUUAGAAAUAAAACUGGCAAAUUUGAUUCAAUUUGAAUUGGUCUAUUUCACUCUCUAUAUUUUAACCAAAAUAAAAAAUUGAUUUAUUAAAUAUAAUUUACAGCAUCUCAAAAGCCAAUAAAAAAACCUUUUAUUCAUUUCACGCAAUAUCAUUCUUUUUAUGAAACAAAUAUAUAUGAUAAAUUAAAUUAAAUUCUAAAAUCUCCCACGAUGGAAUUUGAAAAAUGUUAUGCAUGAACUAUACACCGAGUUCAGGCAAAAAAUUCGAUCGAGUAACUGAGCUGGAGAUGAAACAGAAAACUCGGUCCACGUCUUGUCAGUGUGUUGGAAGGUUCCCUUGUGAGUAGUGCUGCUGCUCUCUAUGUCCCAGCAGUUGAGGAUCAAAAAUAAGACAAAAUAAAUUUGUUCCCAAUCCGCUCCGACCCGCUAAGAAUGUGCAGUCGAAGGGGAAGAAUCUGUUGCUAUCUUUGAUUCAUUUUGACUAUUGGUCCGCUAAAAUUCGCUCUCUCGGCUCGAUCCGUCAAAAAUAAAAUAGUAAAGAAGCGUAAAAAAUAAGAUUAAAAUCAACAUAUCUCAGAUCCGUUAGCUACAUACUAUGUUUGCAUCUUUGUGAUGUGAGGAUGAUGCUGCUCAACUUUCAUAUAGUUCUUGUGAACUACUAUUUCCGUUUGAUGAAUCCAAACGCAUAGUUUCCGAUUUAGCAUUAGAGGUUUCAAAAUAUAACGUGACUUGAUCGACUGAUUCGUUCGGUUACAAGAAUUUUUUUGAUCUGAAUAAGAUAUUUUGCUUGAGAAACAUUAGGUUCAGAUAAUGUUGUCUUGUAAAAAUUGUAAUCAGGAUUCGGUCAGAUAUAUAUUUUCGACGACCAAAGUUGAUUGUUGAUUGUAUUGAUGGUUUAAACAGAAAAAAUUGAUUCCAUUAGAAUACAUGUUGAUCAAAUAGUUUAGUUUGACUAGAUAUGCAGUCCAGUAUAAUAUUUUUUGAGCUUUUCUUUCAAACAAAUUUUAGUGAUCGGUUCAGGUUUUGAAGUUCAUCCUAGAUAUUUGCCAGUCCUAUGGUUUAGAUCCAGCUGGACAUAUGACAUUUUAAUUCUUAAUUGGGAAAAUUUCAAAAAAUCCUCAUGUGAUUUCGUAGUUUCUCACUUUGCCCUCCUGUGGUUUAAAAUGUAUCAAUUUGCCCCCAUGUUGUUUCGUUUUUAUUUUUUCGGUAACUUUUUCGUUAAUAUUUUUUUAAAUUAUAUACAAAAAAUUUCAGAUACCCAUCUAGAUUUAUCAAAUAUUCACUUUAGUACCCUUUAAUUUUAACUUAUCACUGGUUUAAAAAAAAAUAAUAAUAAAAUUGAUAAGAAAAAGAGAAAAAAGAAAUCACAUGGGGACAAAUUGAUACAUUUUAAACCACAGAGAGGCAAAGUGAGAAACUACGAAACCACACGGGAGUUUUUUGAAGUUUUCCCUUCUUAAUGUAAGCAAUUGUUCUACAACUUAGUCAUAGUAUUAAUGAAAGAGCCGGGCUAUAUAGCAUUUGUAAAAACACAAAAUACUUAGUGCUUAUAAUUUAUCGUCAUUAGAUCUAUUUCUUUAAUCAUUUUCAUCUGUUAGAUCAUACUAUUCAAUCAACCACCCACUUAAUCUUAUGUAACACCUCUAUAGUCCCACAUCGGAUGAAAAACUGAUUCUGAUUAAAAUAUAUGAGACCUACACGCUAGUAAUAAUAAUCAGGUUUAAAUAUUUUGUGUUGGUGGUUUGAGACCAACAAGUUAUUAUUGCCGGCGGGUCGGAUCGUUAUAAUUGAUAUCAGCCGAAUACCAGCCAAAAAUACGUGAGCUAAAUACUAUUCAGGGCAAAAUGCUGGGCCCGACGAAUUAUUGUUACUAACAGGUCGGAUAGGAUAUCACUAUUAUUCUAAUCGUACAUUAUUUAAUUUAAAAACGCACCAAUGACUCCUUACAUUUAAAAGUAUAGAAGUGUAAUUCUUAAUAAAAUUUUAUUUAUUUUAGUUUAUUUUAAAUAAAAUACCACGAUGAACAAACAUUUUGACUCGUUACUUAAAUCUAAUUAAAAAAAAAAAGUAAAGCAAAUUCAAAACUUUAUGAUUCAAAAUGUCUAAUCUUGAANNNNNNNNNNNNNNNNNNNNNNNNNNNNNNNNNNNNNNNNNNNNNNNNNNNNNNNNNNNNNNNNNNNNNNNNNNNNNNNNNNNNNNNNNNNNNNNNNNNNCUGCGAUUUCUCUCCAUUUUCUUCUCCACCUACUCCCCUCUCCUCCUGCACCCUCGCCGCCCCUCGAUUUCGGCGACAGUAGGGUGAAAAUCGAGAUGGGGGUGGAUGGAGAGGUGUAACGGCAACGAGGGUGAAGACGAGGCGGCGGAUGACGGCGAAGGGGUAUUUGUGGGCACGGACGGGGAUGUGGGCGUGGACGAGGGCGAGGCAGUGGAGGAGGGCGAGGCGACGAGGCGGCGAAGCAACAGGGAAGGAGACAGAGGGGUAUUUUUGGUAUAAAAAAAUAUUUUAUAAUGGAGGCCUAACAGAUCACUAACGGUAGGAGACAAAGUGCACAUUUUUUAUUUUACAAGGGGGUAAAGUGUAGGUUUUUAAAUGACAGGAGAGGAAAGUGAAAAAUCGCAUUUUGAUAGGGGGGUUUCCUGUAAUUUAGCCCUAUUUGUAAAGGCUAUAAAUAUGAGCUUGAUCUGCUUAACUUUAAUCCUAGAGUGAGUGCUAUUUUACUUACUCUAAUAUUUUGUAUAAUACUAUUAUUAUUAUUAUAUAGUAUUAUAAUAGGUGAUAUUGGUAAUGAGUCUGAUGACAUAAUACUGUAUAAAAAUAUUAGAUGUUUCAUCAUUUGCCAUUGUUUUAUACACUGAAAAUGAAUUUGUUAUCUGAUAUGGUCCAAGGCAAAACCAGACCAGCCCAUAAAAAUUAUGGGCUGACAGUUUGGUCCUAGCCCAAGUUUAGGGACUGAUUUGGGUGGUAGAACAUGGGCCAGUGGGCUUUGUUGCACAGCCCAAGUCAUAUGUAAAGAUGUGAAAAGGCCGGAGGGGUUUAGAGUUUAGGGUUUAGGGUUGAAAACCUCUCGCCCCGUCUCCUUGGCAAGUCGGGGUGGAUUCAUCCCUUUUCAGUUCUUUUUCUCAGCGAAUCGGAGUGGAUUUAUAUCGGAUUGAUUUUUAUCUUAUUUUUUAAUCUUUAUUUAUUACUAUUUCUAUUGAGAGCGAACAAUGCAGAAGUAGUUUUUAAAUAAUCUUUUAGCAGAUUUAAAUGGGUCAACAGAAGGAAGGGGGUCUUUCGGUUCCCACUCCAUUUCUUUGAUAGCUCGGGACGGAUUUAGAAUAAGUUUUUUGUAAUUCUUAUUUGUAACUCCAAUUAUUACCAUGCUAGCGGCGGAUCGAGGCAGAAGCUCCAUCAAUCGCAUCGCGCUGCUUUAGGGUGUCAUGACUAUGUCUAAACAAAAUAAAUUAAUUUGUUAGGUCUUGGCUUAAUUUUUUUAUAAUUUAAAAAAUUAAUAGUUAAUUUAAUAGGUAAAGAAAGUCAAAUUUGAUAUUUGAGGCGGCCAAAUAGGUCAUCACCUACACCAAUCGUACAUCUCCCUUCUUCAUUCUCACAUUAUUUUAGUUAAAAAAAAAAUCUUAUUCAAAGUGAGAUAAAUGACUCACAUCAUUAUUAUUAUAUAUUUAUGAGGAUUAAUUAAUUUAAAUGGUUGCAAUCACCAAAAUGGGAAAAGCCAUCUUGUGUGGCAUGUGACAUGCCACCUACAUUUUCUUUUGGUCAAUUUGCCUCCAAUUGCAAAUGAUUAAAAAAAUGCCUCAUUUAACAAGACCCAAAGCUUUACCUGUAAAAUAAAUAAAUAAAUAAACAAAAGUGGCUUUCACUAGACUAGAAGUAAUCUAAACAUAUAUAUAAAAAUAUUUGCUUCCAUUAUAAGAUCCAAUACAAGAUUAAGAAUAUUGACAUAUUAAUUGCAAGUCCAUCUAAUUCAAAAUCAUAGCCAGAUAACAUAAUUAAAUAUUUGUAAAUCUUAUUUAUUGUUGAAUGUUUUUUUUUUUUUACUUAGGAUAAGAUGAAUAUUAUCAUAUUUUUAUUACUUUUGACUGUCGAACGAGCUCACGUAACGACAGUUACUUAAUAAAAAAGUAAGAAACAUCAAAUUUUUCAUAUAUAUUAUAAUAUAUAUUAUAUAUAUAAUAUAAUAUAGUUAAUAUUAUAACAUUAUCUCGGUAAAUUUGCAUUAACAAUGUAUAUUAUUUUUGUAUCAAGACAAAUGUAUUCUAUUGUAAUUCAAAACCAGAGGUUUAGUUAAUAUAAAUUUACCACGAUGAUCUCAACGUUGUGAUUCUGUAUAAGAGGAAUACAUCUGAGCCCACCCACAUAUUCCAAUUUAGCAACACAACAAAUCAGCAAAAAAAAAAAAAAAAAAGAAGAAAAAAAAAAGAAAGAUAUCCCCAAAAAAAAAUAAAAAAAAAUCUUGCCAAAAACAAAGAAACAAAUGUUCUUAUUGCUAACACAAAGGCACCCAACAAGUUUCAAAAACUACCCGUCAAACACAUCCUUCUAACGGUCUAAAACCACGUCUAUCGGCUCUUAAUUAGUAUAGAUAUUAAACAAAUAUAGAGUGAAAAAACGUAUGGAGACCACCCAACUCUUUUUUAAUACGUUUUGAUCCGCGACUUUCAACGUUUAAUACUUUUUAAUUUUAUUUAUUAAAUAAUAUUCCUGAUUAGGUACUUUAAAUUAAGAGCGGUAUCACGCCAGAUCGCCGUUCGUUCAAGAGUCCGCUCUAUUGCUGCGGUUUGAAAUGAUCGCGAAGUCACUGCUUUAAGUAAACGAGCAUGAGCACCGGACCUAAAUUUUCAGCUUGUUUAAUAAACGAAGCAAGCACGAACAUAGUCGUCAGCUGUGUGAUUCGGUCAUACGAUAACCGCUCACGAAUAUAUAUAUAUUAUAUAGUAUAGUAUAUAUAUAUAUAUAUAUAUAUAUUAUAUAUAAUAAAUGUGCGUUGGGUUUUCGAAGCACCGGCAGCGUAAGAUAACUCUCCGUCUUGACUAUUAUUUCGAUACUGUGGGAUCUUCAAAUCCGAGCGAUCAGCUCCGUUAGAACUUGAAUCUACGAGUAUUGAGUUAAUCUAGAAAAAUAAUAUUAUUGCGAUUUUCGUAUAUUUGCCAGUAUGCGAAUGGGCUCAAAAUCAUCGGCUGAAAAUAAAAAAUCUUCACAAAAUAAUGAUGAAUGACAUUUAAAAUUUUAGAUCAAAGUUAUUGAUCUUGUUCUUAUAUGGUAUAAAUAAUUUUCUAUCACAAAUUCACCGUGAUUGAUAAUUUCAGGCGAUAACUUCCGGCUCACACACGGUCCGUUAAAAUUAAUUCGAAUUUUGAGCCCUUCGAUCUACAUAGGCCAAAUGAUAUUGAAAAAUACGCAAAAUUUAAUCUUUUCUUGGUACUGUUAAAUACUCUAGAUCAAUUCUUAACGGAGCCCGGAUCGUCGAUUCCGAAGUCGAACACAUCGAACAAAGUAGAAGCAGCGGAGGCUCCGUGCUUGACGAAAGCUAUAAGCCAGCCCACUCAUAUAUAUAUACAAUAUAUAUAUUAUUAUAUAUAUAUUAUUAUUUAUUAUUUAAAUUUUAGCUCAACCUAAAUAUAAAAUUCAAUUCAAUUGUAAAAUAAUUGAUUUAUAUGUAAAAUUUUUAAUUAUUAGGCCAAAAUAUUACGGAUAAGAUCUUAUAAAUUUAUAUUCUAUAUAAAUUUUUUCUAAUCCUUUUAAAUUUUUAUUCAUAAGCCCGCUCGUAUUUGGCUCGUUUCAUAAACGAGUUGAAUAUGAGCCGAUCCUAGUUCGCUCGUGUUUUGCUCGUUGACACCCCUAUUUAAAUUAAGUAAUGGAAGUUUUACUUGUUAUAAUAAUGUGAUUAAAAACUACAAAAUUUGAUAAAUUUAACAAUUUAUUUGACAAAGAUUACCUAACUCUAAAAACAUAAAAGUUAGGGGUGUAAAUAAAAAAAAAGAUUACUUAGGGGUGUUUUAAGAAUAUCCUAUUGUUGAGGGUCUCCAAACACUUUUGCCGUAUAAAAAGUGGCCUCCCUCACCAAUCCCUUCUCCGUGCGCCUCCUUUCUCUCUCCUUAUCUCCUAUCUCGCUUUUUCUCUCUCUAAUUUUCUUCCUCUUCGGAGACCUCGAAGCAACGAUGUCGGCCUACUGCGGAAAAUACAGCGGUAUAAUCCACAGAUCCUUUGAUUUUUUUGUGAAAUCGGGGCUUGGAUGAGUAGAUCUAGCGUUUUUUCCCCUUUUUUUUUAUCAACUUUUUGUGAUUUUUGGCCUCCAAUCUUCGGUUUUUGAUGAGUUUAUGACUAAAGGCGACUGCUUUACCCUUUUUGUGUGGUUGAUCUAUUUUGUUUUCUUUUAUUGAUCUAUUUUUGGGGGAUUUUUGCCUGCGAUUUCUGUUUUUUGAUGAGUUUUUGCUUAAAGGUGUCUUCUUUACUCUUUUGGCGUUGUUGUUGUUGUUGUUGUUUUUAAAUCGGGGUUGAUGUUGGAGCGAUCUAUUUAAAUAGUAUGUUUCCCCUAUUUUCCCCUCAUUUUUUAGGGUUUUGUUUCAUGGAUAUGUGGCUUUGUUCCAUGAAUCACGGUCGAUUUAAUGAUCGGGUUGAAGGAAACAACCUAUUUGUUUCUUCUUUAACUUGUAGAUCGGGGUUGGGCGAUUCGAUGAUGAUAAUUUGAUAAUUUUUCCAAUGUUUUAAAUUGAUUUGAGGCCUUACAACAGUAGAUUGGUUGGGCUCACACACAGAAUUAUUGUUUGAGGCUCUUGAAAGAGCAGAUCUGGGAUCUUAUUGCUCUCUCUUUUUUCCCCUACUUAUUUGUGAUUUUUUUUUCAUCUCGACUAAGUGCUUUUUAUAUUAUCCUUUUGCUUUUGUUAUUCAAAUUGCGUUAGAUUAUAGAUGAGAUUGUCACCUAAAUGAUACAUGAAUAUACUUCUUAUAGACUAGUAGUUUCCUGUUGGGAUGAUGUAACAUCUUUAUUUAUGCAUAUUUUUCUACAUGUUGCCCUUUAAUCCUCUCUGAUAGUCUUUGUAUGGAUUCUAGUUUGAGUCCUUAGAGUGUGUCAGUUUUGCAUGCACGCAUUCCGAAGCACGGAGAGUAGUUGUGCUUCCGCUGCAAAUCUGCAUCAUCAGGGCCUUUUAAUUGAUGAUCCAAAUCGUUAGAAAUUAUCUAGAGGUUUUAAUGUUACUAGAAACUUUGGCAAGUUUGAUGGUUGAAGAAAGGUGUGUUUUUUUUUCUGAGUUGGUUGAAAAUUUUUGAGGCAAUACCUUUAAUCUGUAGGUCAAGAUGAAUAACUUUGAUUGUUAAGUUGAGAAUAUCUCUAAUGCUAUGGGUGAAUGAUCUUUCGAGGCGGAAGCAGAAAGGCUUUGUUGCUUCUGAAGGUUGUAUAGAUUUUGCUGUUGCACAUACACCACACAAGGUCAAGAUUUUGCUGUUGUACACAAAGUCAUUAGCAUGCGAUAAUAUGUUGUGAGAUUAGAAUUUUUGAUUCCAUAUGUUUCACCGUAUUUUUCAUCGUGCUGCAGAUGUUUUGGGCAUGAUAUCUUUUGUCGUGUAGUUUUAGGAGUAUCAGGCAAUCAAGAAGUAUCCACUUUUGCUUAUGCUGCAUAAUUUAGUUGCUGAAAUAGGGAUCAGUGUCUCUGGCUUAGCUAGCUCACAUAUUUAUAAGUGUCUUUUCUCGCAGACUCGGAACCGUUGUACCCGAUACCUUAUAAUUGAAAAAUAUUGCCCUUGCAGUAUAAAUUUUCUGUUAGACAGUUAUUUUUGGUACUGCUUUAACAGAUCUUGUUUAUCAUGUGAUGAUUUUGGUUUGCAGCAACAUAUUUUGGUCUCUUCCUAGAAAUAAGUUGUAUUUUCAAUAUAUGUGUUUUCAACUUCUUGCUCUAUUAGGUUGUAACUUUCUGGUUAUAAUUAUUUUGUUCUGAGUCUGAUCUAUCUCUCCAGAUGAGCUCAUCAAGAACGCCGCUUACAUCGGCACCCCAGGCAAGGGGAUUCUCGCAGCUGAUGAGUCGACCGGCACAAUUGGCAAGAGGCUGUCAAGCAUCAACGUGGAGAACGUGGAGGAGAACCGCCGCGCCCUCCGUGAGCUCCUCUUCUGCACCCCUGGCGCCCUCCAGUACCUCAGCGGAGUGAUCCUCUUCGAGGAGACCCUCUACCAGAAGACGAAGGAUGGCAAGCCCUUCGUCGAAGUCCUCAAGGAGGGCGGUGUCCUCCCGGGCAUCAAGGUCGACAAGGGAACCAUUGACAUUGCCGGCACCAAUGGUGAGACCACCACACAGGGCCACGAUGACCUUGGCAAGCGCUGCCAAAAGUACUACGAGGCUGGUGCCCGCUUUGCUAAGUGGCGUGCUGUCCUCAAGAUCGGCCCUAAUGAGCCAUCCCAGUUGUCAAUUGAUCUCAACGCCCAGGGUUUGGCUCGGUACGCAAUCAUCUGCCAGGAGAACGGCCUGGUCCCAAUCGUCGAGCCCGAGAUCCUUGUCGAUGGGCCCCACGACAUUAAGCGAUGUGCAGACGUGACAGAGCGUGUCCUGGCUGCUUGCUACAAGGCCCUGAAUGAGCAGCAUGUCCUUCUGGAAGGUUCUCUUCUGAAGCCCAACAUGGUGACUCCAGGAUCCGAGUCACCCAAAGUUGCCCCCGAGGUGAUAGCCGAGUACACUGUACGGGCCCUCCAGCGAACGGUCCCGGCAGCUGUCCCUGCCAUUGUGUUCCUCUCCGGAGGGCAGAGUGAGGAGCAGGCAACUCUGAACCUGAACGCGAUGAAUAAGCUGAAGGGCAAGAAGCCGUGGUCGCUGUCCUUCUCGUUCGGCCGUGCCCUGCAGCAGAGCACGCUCAAGGCGUGGGCUGGUAAGGUGGAGAAUGUGGAGAAGGCGAGAGCGGCCUUCCUCACAAGGUGCAAGGCCAACUCGGAGGCGACGCUCGGGGUGUACAAGGGAGAUGCAGCUGGCGGUGAGGGUGUCUCAGAGAGCCUCCAUGUGAAGGGCUACACUUAUUGAUCUCGCGCAGAAUUCAUGGAAAUGUCUGUGCUUUCGCAGAGAGUUCUUUUGAUGCUUUAGGAGAUGAUUACAAUAAGUUUGAGAGUGCUUUCAGUUUUCUGUGUCUGGAUGUUUAAUCAUCCUUAAUGACGCUUUUUAUUUUUGAUGAUGUUUCAUUUUGUAGUUUGACAUUUGCGGUCUUAUGUUAUGGAUGUGAAAACUUG
rnacentral:lncRNA from 1 species